rnacentral:lncRNA from 1 species
GAGGUGCCUUUACUACAUGUGUGAUCUGAAAACCCUGCUUGGUUCUGAGCUGCGUCUAUUGAAUUGGUAAAGUAAUACCAAUGGCUUUUUAUCAUUUCCUUCUUCCCUUUAAGUUUCACUUGAAAUUUUAAAAAUCAUGGUUAUUUUUAUCGUUGGGAUCUUUCUGUCUUCUGGGUUCCAUUUUUUAAAUGUUUAAAAAUAUGUU